UGGGGUGUGGCUCAGUGGUAGAGUGCUUGCCUAGCAUGCAUGAGGCACUGGGUUCAGAGUGCUUGCCUAGCAUGCACGAGGCACUGGGUUCGAUCCUCAGCACCAA
rnacentral:tRNA from 1 species